rnacentral:lncRNA from 1 species
CCAAAGCAGAGUGUGCAAACUUAACCACUCGGCCACAGGACCAGACCCAGCCAUAAAACAGCAAUCAUGCUGUUUUCCUGCCUCCGACUCGACUCCGUGGCCGGCUGCCUCCAGAGAGGCUCAGAGGAGAGAAGCAGCUGACUCCGGGCCUCUGAAGAUUAUCUUUCCGCUGUCCUGCCAUUUCUCUACUGAAUAUUCAAAAAAACAAGAUCAUCAACAGCCAGGAUUCCAUUCUCCCAGGAUUCUCUUCACCUACGGUCCACAACUCCUUUGUCUAAAAUGAGGGGAGCAGUGAAGUAGAAAGAAAAUAGCCUGAAGAAGAGCCUGGCCUCCACUUCCUCUCAUAACCGAGCUGAGUCGUUAUCCAUUUUUUGAUGGACUUUUCUUUUUGGGAGUGGGGUGGUGUGCCCAGUAUCUAAACCUGCUUCCUAUGUUUGGGAAAUUCCUUGCCUUAUAAGUAGUAGUGUCUUGGUAAAGUAACAACCUGCUCUGAAGGGAGGGGAGACCUCAUUCUCAGUGUUUGCUCAGUUUUGUGGUGUGAACACUCCCACUAUGGCUGAUUUCAAGCUGGCGACACGAUGUCACCAAACGCAGAAUAGGAAAGAGACGCACAGUAGCACAUCAUUAUAGAAAAUCUCCACCAAUUGAUACAACGGGCACAAAUAACUUCAAAGCACAGAUAAUAGUCAAAGCAAUAAAAUAAUUAGGAAGUAACAAAUGUUGAGUAUUUAAUACCUUUGUUUUUAAUAUAAUGUAUUUGAGUUUAUGUCAUUUAAUUUUUUUA